UUGCACGCUGGCGGCAGGCCUAACACAUGCAAGUCGAGCGGAUGAAGGGAGCUUGCUCCUGGAUUCAGCGGCGGACGGGUGAGUAAUGCCUAGGAAUCUGCCUGGUAGUGGGGGAUAACGUCCGGAAACGGGCGCUAAUACCGCAUACGUCCUGAGGGAGAAAGUGGGGGAUCUUCGGACCUCACGCUAUCAGAUGAGCCUAGGUCGGAUUAGCUAGUUGGUGGGGUAAAGGCCUACCAAGGCGACGAUCCGUAACUGGUCUGAGAGGAUGAUCAGUCACACUGGAACUGAGACACGGUCCAGACUCCUACGGGAGGCAGCAGUGGGGAAUAUUGGACAAUGGGCGAAAGCCUGAUCCAGCCAUGCCGCGUGUGUGAAGAAGGUCUUCGGAUUGUAAAGCACUUUAAGUUGGGAGGAAGGGCAGUAAGUUAAUACCUUGCUGUUUUGGCGUUACCAACAGAAUAAGCACCGGCUAACUUCGUG
rnacentral:rRNA from 1 species